CGGACGGGUGAGUAAUGUCUGGGAAACUGCCUGAUGGAGGGGGAUAACUGCUGGAAACGGUAGCUAAUACCGCAUAACGUCGCAAGACCAAAGAGGGGGACCUUCGGGCCUCUUGCCAUCGGAUGUGCCCAGAUGGGAUUAGCUAGUAGGUGGGGUAACGGCUCACCUAGGCGACGAUCCCUAACUGGUCUGAGAGGAUGACCAGCCACACUGGAACUGAGACACGGUCCAG
rnacentral:rRNA from 1 species